rnacentral:misc_RNA from 1 species
GAUGAAGAACGUAGCGAAAUGCGAUAAGUAAUGCGAAUUGCAGAAUUUCCGUGAGUCAUCGAAUCUUUGAACGCACAUUGCGCCCCUUGGUAUUCCGGGGGGCAUGCCUGUUCGAGCGUCAUUAUAACCCCUCAAGCUCAGCUUGGUGUUGGGGCCUGCCGACUGGCAGCCCUUAAAAUCAGUGGCGGCGCCAUCUGGCUCUAAGCGUAGUAAUUUCUCUCGCUAUAGAGUCCCGGUGGAUGCUUGCCAGCAACCCCCAACUUUCUAUGGUUGACCUCGGAUCAGGUAGGGAUACCCGCUGAACUUAAGCAUAUCAAUAAGCGGAGGA